GAUGAAGAACGUAGCGAAAUGCGAUAAGUAAUGUGAAUUGCAGAAUUCAGUGAAUCAUCGAAUCUUUGAACGCACAUUGCGCCCGCCAGUAUUCUGGCGGGCAUGCCUGUUCGAGCGUCAUUUCAACCAUCAAGCCCCAGGCUUGCGUUGGGGACCUGCGGCUGCCGCAGGCCCUGAAAACCAGUGGCGGGCUCGCUGUCACACCGGGCGUAGUAGAUUUUAUCUCGCUCAGGGCGUGCUGCGGGUUCCGGCCGUUAAAAAGCCUUUUUUACCCAAGGUUGACCUCGAAUCAGGUAGGAAUACCCGCUGAACUUAAGCAUAUCAAUAAGCGGAGGA
rnacentral:misc_RNA from 1 species